rnacentral:rRNA from 1 species
AUUGAACGCUGGCGGCAUGCUUUACACAUGCAAGUCGAACGGUAACAGCACUUCGGUGGCUGACGAGUGGCGAACGGGUGCGUAAUACAUCGGAACGUGCCUAGUAGUGGGGGAUAACUACUCGAAAGAGUAGCUAAUACAGCAUGAGAUCUAAGGAUGAAAGCAGGGGACCUUCGGGCCUUGCGCUACCUGAGCGGCUGAUGGCAGAUUAGGUAGUUGGUGGGAUAAAAGCUUACCAAGCCGACGAUCCGUAGCUGGUCUGAGAGGACGACCAGCCACACUGGAACUGAGACACGGCCCAGACUCCUACGGGAGGCAGCAGUGGGGAAUUUUGGACAAUGGGCGCAAGCCUGAUCCAGCAAUGCCGCGUGCAGGAUGAAGGCCUUCGGGUUGUAAACUGCUUUUGUACGGAAAGAAAAGCCCUCUUCUAAUACAGGAGGGUCAUGACGGUACCGUAAGAAUAAGCACCGGCUAACUACGUG